rnacentral:rRNA from 1 species
AACGAACGCUGGCGGCAUGCCUAAUACAUGCAAGUCGAACGAUCACUUCGGUGGUAGUGGCGCACGGGUGCGUAACGCGUGGGAAUCUGCCCUUGGGUUCGGAAUACCGUCGGGAAACUGACGCUAAUACCGGAUGAUGACGUAAGUCCAAAGAUUUAUCGACCGGGGAUGAGCCCGCGUAGGAUUAGCUAGUUGGUGGGGUAAAGGCCUACCAAGGCGACGAUCCUUAGCUGGUCUGAGAGGAUGAUCAGCCACACUGGGACUGAGACACGGCCCAGACUCCUACGGGAGGCAGCAGUAGGGAAUAUUGGACAAUGGGGGCAACCCUGAUCCAGCAAUGCCGCGUGAGUGAUGAAGGCCUUAGGGUUGUAAAGCUCUUUUACCCGGGAUGAUAAUGACAGUACCGGGAGAAUAAGCCCCGGCUAACUCCGUGCCAGCCGCCGCGGUAA